rnacentral:rRNA from 1 species
GUGAGGAAUAUUGCGCAAUGGCCGAAAGGCUGACGCAGCGACGCCGCGUGAAGGAUGAAGUCCGUUAGGAUGUAAACUUCUUUUGCAGGGGAUGAAACCCCGUUCUACGGGUUUGACCGUACCCUGCGAAUAAGGAUCGGCCAACUACGUGCCAGCAGCCGCGGUAAUACGUAGGAUCCGAGCGUUGUCCGGAAUUACUGGGUGUAAAGGGCGUGUAGGUGGGUCUCUAAGUCGGUGGUGAAAUCUUGCAGCUCAACUGCAAAACUGCCGUCGAUACUGGGGACCUUGAGUGCGGAAGAGGGAGACGGAAUUCAUGGUGUAGCGGUGAAAUGUGUAGAUAUCAUGAAGAACACCGGUUGCGAAGGCGGUCUCCUGGUCCGUUACUGACGCUGAGGCGCGAAAGCGUGGGGAGCAAACAGGAUUAGAUACCCGUGUAGUCC